CAACAACCGGUGCAUACGAACACGAACGAGCGAAGUGACGCGGUUAUGUACGGAAAACAAUCGCGUCGUACGCGGAAAACAUCUUCAAACAUGUAAGAAUCCGUAAACGCGAGUGCUGUCGCAGUCGAAUUUUACGUUUAUUUUUGUUCUGCGAGAAGCCAGCGAAAACCGUAACGUCGUUUCCCGAGCCCGUCGUUGCGUUUACGAGUCAGGUUUUGUCGUCGGUGACGUACGGUUUUUUCGGAGCACCGAGGCCAAACACGAAUCGACGCACGACGAUGAGCGCGAACAACGUGCAGGCACUCUUCGCGUGUUCCAGAUGCUUUUCGAGGCAUCCGUUCGAGGAGCUUUCCCCGGGACAGCAGUUGUGCAAGGAGUGCAGAGGUGCAUUCCCUGUGGUGAAAUGUACGUAUUGUAGGUCAGAAUUCCAGCAAACGAUAAAGGGUAACACGAGUACGAUAUGUAAAAAGUGUGAGCAGAAUGUGAAGUCUUACGGUAAACCGUCGGCCUGCGAGUAUUGCAAUACCAUAGCUGCGUUUAUCGGCAGUAAGUGUCAACGUUGUACAAAUUCCGAGAAACGGUAUGGACCACCAGUCACUUGCGAACAAUGCAAACAGAAGUGUGCCUUUGACAGACAGGACGAAGAUAAAAAGGUCGAUGGAAAAUUGUUAUGUUGGCUGUGUACCCUGUCUUACAAACGAGCGUUGGCGAAAACGAAACAGUCGGACGCGGACAGAAGGGCACACUUGAAACUGGCACAGCAACGGGCGGCGAAACACAAAGAACAAAAAUUGAAAGGUCACAAUAAAAGACCGCACAGAGUGGACGUUACGAAACUACCGCCCCAACCGGAAAUCGCGGAGACGAAUGGCCCUACACCGGUGAAAGUGGCGAGGAUGGUCGGUGCCCACGAUCCUCAUGAUCCGAACAGUUCGGACCAUGUGGUCGCGGUCACGCAACUCAAAGAAAAAAUAGCCCACCUUCAAAAACAAAUCACAAUCAAGGACGGGCAGUUACUUGCUAAGGAUAGACAGAUAACGGAAUUGAAGGCGAAAAACUUCACGUCGGAAACGGAGCUGCGCAACAAAAUGAAGGCCACGGAGAAGGAGUACGAGAACAAGGUAUCGACGAUGCAAUUGAAGAUCUCCACAUUGUUGAAGGAGGUUGCCUCGUUGUCGAAGAGUUCGAAACGGGGCGACAGACUGGCUGCCACGAAAACGGAAGCCGGGACCAACAGUGGAAGCGGAACAGACAGUCCUGUACCUUUCUAAGGAAUUGGCGUUCUCUGCCGAGGAUUCUAUCUUCUGCUAUCCUGUGGAUUCAGCUACGCAUCGUUUGGAGUACUCGUUAAUCCAAAUGCUGCCGCUGAAACCCGCCUGGCCGGAGUUGGUCCGAGCGGAGCGCGAUUAAAAGUGAAGCCUCUUGACCACGUGGCCUGAGGUCAUAGUGGCGUAGGCAGACGUUACUCUCUUCGUCUGGUCGGGCAAGGUAGAGGAGCGUCGUGGCGAGGCCUGGUUCGUCGAGGAGCGGUAUGAGGGUGUUGAGAGCCACAGUCCUCGAUCCAACGCGGGUAUACAGAGGUAACUGCUUAGUCAUUGGGCCACGAUCGACCAUGUUACAAUGGUUAUUCAGCGAUGUUACGAGCGGACACGAGGGGCCAAGAGGUGAAAAAGAAACAAGACGGAGGUGGACCAUAGCCUCGUAAACCGGCCUGCUGGAGAUGUAAUGUUACGUCUGUUAGAUUCUGGGAGAGAAUCCUGGCUCUGGAGCGAAUUUAGUGGCUAAUGUUCAAGUUCCAUGUAUUUGCUAUGAUUGUGAGUCACGGCCGCGUCCGAGAGACAAUGAGACAUCACUCUUCGGUGUUUGUAGCCUCCUCGUGUGUCCGUGGACGCUUACAAGCCUUCGAACCUACACGUAGGUUGUUAAAAAGAAAAGUCCGACCUUGAAUGACGGAAUCGUGGACGCCAGUUCACUUUAAAGCGGAAUGGGUAGCGAUUAUAGUCACUUUAGAUAAGAGAAAUAUUUUUAUUAGCUAGAUUUAAUAUAAAAGUGACAGUUUUUAUACAAUAUUAAAUUGAUAUAUAUUUGUAUGUCAAUAUCGAUUUAGAGAUAAAAGAACUACUUCGAUUGAGGGUGUUCGAUUAAACAAACGAGAAACCACACCUUAUAAAAUUCAUCCCACGAGAGGGCAAAUAUUCAUGAAACAUAUUUCGAUCGAACCCCCGCUUUAAAGUGAAUUAGCAGCCUCGAUAUUGAGACUUGAAAGCGUGUACGGAGUCUGAUGUCUGCAAUCACGGUUCUUAAGAGCAUGCAUCGAAAACAGCCCGCCGAGUAAUUGCCUCGGAAAAUUCCUGCUUUUCCCACGAAACCUCCAGUCCUAAUCGUCGAAUCCUCUUUUCAUCCAAUUACGCGCGAAAGGAUUAAGGCUUGAGCCGCUCGCGUCCCGCUGGAAGCGAUCUGGAAGACCAUUACCCCCACGCAAGGACCAGCCGUCGGUUGGAAACAGUUCAAAGAAAGGGGCUGAAGAAGAAACGGAAGAAGGGUGCACUGGCGUCGACCCAACGAGAACGAACGAAAUUUCACCGGAAUAAUUCGUUGGAUACAUUUUUAUUCCUUAUCCCGAGGCGGACAGUGGGAAGGUUGAAAGGCGACGAAGGGUAGGGUUGAUUCUCCGGGUGGUGGGGAGGCACGACAGAGAGAAGUGUUCCUGUGUUCGGGACGCGGUCAAAGACACGAGACACAGAGCGACCGCUCGUUACAUAAGUAAGGUAAAGGAUCUUCUCUUCUGCUCUCCUUGAGCCGAUCCACAUCCGCGAUUAUGCCACUUUCCAUCGACCUCGCUUCACCUCGACCGCCUAUGCGUGUGCUCCAGCCUCUGUGUGCGCUUGCGCAGCGGUGCGUGUGGAACGGAAGUCGCAUCGGCGAUCUUCUUUUCGAACCGAUCGAAUUCCGGACCUUCGCGAGUAAUUGUAGGGUCCUCGAGCACGUUCUCGACUCCUCUUCCUCCUUUGAAAGGAAGUGGAAUCGUUGUCAUGGACUGGUUCGACGCAUAGGAAGGUAAAUCACGAAUAAAAUAAUGGCGUCGCUGAGAGCAGGCGUCGCGCGAUGCGCGAGGAAAGUGCGCAGAAGACACCAAGCGGUGACCGUUCUCCACGAACCGCACUGGAACAACGAAGGGGGGAUGUGUAAUUAAAGAAACGCCCAAAGGGGCGAAUUAACGAACCUGCUGUCGGGAGCAUUAUCAUUCGCGAUAUUAAUAAGGCGAAUUCACGACCUUGAAGAUACAUAUCGCGAGCUCGCAGGGGCAUGAAGCCCGUAACAGUUACCUCCAGACAAAUUCCAGCGCCGCGUACGUUUUCGUUCCGGACGCGAGGGGAGCUGUCGUCGCUUAAUUAAAAACUCUGGCAAAUCGAGUGGCCCGUCACGCCAAUUAACUUUACACCGGAACCUGCCAAGACGAUCGGGAGAGUGCUCGGAAAAAUUAACGGACACUGCAGCGAAGGAAUUAGUUUUCUAUAAGGAACGCGAUAGUUAAUUGUUUCGCGAUGCAAGACGUUGCCAGUCGCUUUGUAUAAAAAGGAACGAACAGAGACUUUUAUUAGAGCUUUGGACACGCUAGAGUUUAUGAUGUUUGGUUGCUACAAGUCCUCAGGGAUCAGUGACACCGAUGGUGCCGUCGACACUGCUCCUAGAACGACCUUCGACGACACGGACGACCUUGGUGUCACGCGACGGGAAAUGUGGGAACUACAGGAAAUGAAAUAUGAAGAAAUAUGUAUCUCUCAUGAAGACUGUAUAAGGAGAUCCAACUCCAUACGAAAACUGUUAUCAAAAUCCCGAGCUUUAAGUUAUGAAUAUUUCUACCACUCGCGGCGCUAGUGCGCACAGACUACGAUAUAUAUAUAUGUCAUAUGU